rnacentral:lncRNA from 1 species
AGGUUUGGUUUAGGGUUUAGAGUUUGGUUAGGAUUUGAUUAGGAUUUGAUUUAGGGUUUGGUUUAGGAUUUGGUUGAGAUUUGGUUUAGGAUUUUUUUAGGAUUUGGUUUAGGAUUUAGGAUUUGGUUAGGGUUUGGUUUAGAAUUUAGAGUUUGAUUAGGAUUUUAUUUAAGGUUUAAGAUUUGAUUACGUUUUGGUUUAGGAUUUAGGAUUUGAUUUAGGAUUUGCUUAGGAUUUGGUUUAAGGUUUGUUUAAGGUUUGGUUUAGAGUUUAGGAUUUGGUUAGGAUUUGAUUUAGGAUUUAGGAUUUGAUUUAGAAUUUAGGAUUUGAUUUAGGAUUUAGGAUUUUAUUAAGAUUUGUUUAGAGUUUGAGAUUGAAUUAGUUUUAGCUUAAGUUUGAAUGAAGUCCAAUAGAAUUUUAACUAGGAUUAAAUUAGGAUUGAAUUGAGAUGUAUUUGUGAUCAUUUUAAUAUUUCUUUAAGAUUUUUUAUUGUUUCUUUGAAAUUUCUUUGAGGUUUUUUUGAAUUUGAUUAAAGUUUGCUUAAUAUUAUUAUAGUCUAAUUAGAGUUUUAUUAAUAUUCUAUUAUAGUUAGGAUUUUAUUGUUACAAUUUCCAUUCUACCUUCUACAGCUAAGUACCUGGAGCAUUCUCAAGCAAGACUUCACAUAUUACGACAACGCUCUUAGUUAUACUUUUAAAAAAAUUAAGACUACAAGAAGUCCAAUCUAUU